rnacentral:rRNA from 1 species
CAAGCCGAGCGGUAGAAGUCCUUCGGGACUUUGAGAGCGGCGUACGGGUGCGUAACACGUGUGCAACCUACCUUUAUCAGGGGAAUAGCCUUUCGAAAGGAAGAUUAAUACCCCAUAAUAUAUUGAAUGGCAUCAUUUAAUAUUGAAAACUCCGGUGGAUAGAGAUGGGCACGCGCAAGAUUAGAUAGUUGGUGAGGUAACGGCUCACCAAGUCAAUGAUCUUUAGGGGUCCUGAGAGGGAGAUCCCCCACACUGGUACUGAGACACGGACCAGACUCCUACGGGAGGCAGCAGUGAGGAAUAUUGGACAAUGGGUGAGAGCCUGAUCCAGCCAUCCCGCGUGAAGGAUGACGGUCCUAUGGAUUGUAAACUUCUUUUGUAUAGGGAUAAACCUACUCUCGUGAGAGUAGCUGAAGGUACUAUACGAAUAAGCACCGGCUAACUCCGUGCCAGCAGCCGCGGUAAUACGGAGGGUGCAAGCGUUAUCCGGAUUUAUUGGGUUUAAAGGGUCCGUAGGCGGGCCGAUAAGUCAGUGGUGAAAUCUCAUAGCUUAACUAUGAAACUGCCGUUGAUACUGUCGGUCUUGAGUAAAUUUGAAGUGGCUGGAAUAAGUAGUGUAGCGGUGAAAUGCAUAGAUAUUACUUAGAACACCAAUUGCGAAGGCAGGUCACUAAGAUUUAACUGACGCUGAGGGACGAAAGCGUGGGGAGCGAACAGGAUUAGAUACCCUGGUAGUCCACGCCGUAAACGAUGCUAACUCGUUUUUGGGGCGCAAGCUUCAGAGACCAAGCGAAAGUGAUAAGUUAGCCACCUGGGGAGUACGUCCGCAAGGAUGAAACUCAAAGGAAUUGACGGGGGCCCGCACAAGCGGUGGAUUAUGUGGUUUAAUUCGAUGAUACGCGAGGAACCUUACCAAGACUUAAAUGGGAAAUGACAGGCUUAGAAAUAGGCUUUUCUUCGGACAUUUUCCAAGGUGCUGCAUGGUUGUCGUCAGCUCGUGCCGUGAGGUGUUAGGUUAAGUCCUGCAACGAGCGCAACCCCUGUCACUAGUUGCUAACAUUUAGUUGAGGACUCUAGUGAGACUGCCUACGCAAGUAGAGAGGAAGGUGGGGAUGACGUCAAAUCAUCACGGCCCUUACGUCUUGGGCCACACACGUAAUACAAUGGCCGGUACAGAGGGCAGCUACCUAGCGAUAGGAUGCAAAUCUCGAAAGCCGGUCUCAGUUCGGAUUGGAGUCUGCAACUCGACUCUAUGAAGCUGGAAUCGCUAGUAAUCGCGCAUCAGCCAUGGCGCGGUGAAUACGUUCCCGGGCCUUGUACACACCGCCCGUCAAGCCAUGGAAGUUUGGGGUACCUGAAGUCGGUGACCGUAAAAGG